rnacentral:miRNA from 2 species
GACAGUCAGCAGUUGGUCUGGC